UUCUGGUUGAUCCUGCCGGAGGUCACUGCUAUUGGAGUUCGACUAAGCCAUGCGAGUCACCAGUUGCGCAAGUGCUAGCAAUAGUUCCUUUGCAGCUGGGGCGGACUGCUCAGUAACACGUGGGUAAUCUGCCCUCAGGACAGGGAUAACCUCGGGAAACUGAGGACAAUACCUGAUAGGCGGAGAGUUCUGGAAUGAUUCUCCGCUCAAGACAAAUGCGCAAGCAUUUGUGCCUGAGGAUGAGCCUGCGGCCGAUUAGGUUGUUGGCGGUGUAGCGGACCACCAAGCCUGAGAUCGGUACGGGCACUGAGAGGUGGAGCCCGGAGAUGGGGGCUGAGACACGGCCCCAGGCCCUACGGGGCGCAGCAGGCGCGAAAACUCCGCAAUGCGCAAAAGCGUGACGGGGGAACUCCAAGUGCGCUCGCGCAAGCGAGUGCUUUUGCAGAGUGCAAACAGCUCUGCGAAUAAAAGCGGGGUAAGACCGGUGCCAGCCGCCGCGGUAACACCGGCCGCUUGAGUGGUGACCGCUAUUAUUGGGCCUAAAGCGUCCGUAGCCGGUUUGGUAAGUCCUUAGAUAAAUCCACUCGUUCAACGAAUGGAAUUCUAAAGAUACUGCCAGACUCGGGGGCGAGAGAAGUCGGAGGUACUUCUAGGGUAGCGGUGAAAUGUUAUAAUCCUAGAGGGACCACCAGUGGCGAAGGCGUCCGACUAGAGCGUGCCCGACGGUGAGGGACGAAAGCCAGGGGAGCGAACGGGAUUAGAUACCCCGGUAGUCCUGGCCGUAAACGCUGCGGGCUAGGUGUUACGUCCUCUACGUGGGGACGUAGUGCCGUAGAGAAGUUGAUAAGCCUGCCGCCUGAGAAGUAUUACCGCAAGGUAGAAACUUAAAGGAAUUGGCGGGAGAGCAC
rnacentral:rRNA from 1 species